rnacentral:rRNA from 1 species
UACGUAGGGGGCUAGCGUUGUCCGGAAUCAUUGGGCGUAAAGCGCGUGUAGGCGGCCCGGUAAGUCCGCUGUGAAAGUCGGGGGCUCAACCCUCGAAUGCCGGUGGAUACUGUCGGGCUAGAGUAGCGGAAGAGCGAGUGGAUCCGUGGUGUAGCGGUGGAAAUGACGCAGAUAUCAGGAGGAACACCAAUUGCGAAGGCAGCUGCGCUGGGACGUUACUGACGCUGAGACGCGAAGCGUGGGGAGCAA